rnacentral:rRNA from 1 species
GAGUAUGUCUGGGAACUGCCUGAUGGAGGGGGAUAACUACUGGAAACGGUAGCUAAUACCGCAUAACGUCGCAAGACCAAAGAGGGGGACCUUCGGGCCUCUUGCCAUCGGAUGUGCCCAGAUGGGAUUAGCUAGUAGGUGGGGUAACGGCUCACCUAGGCGACGAUCCCUAGCUGGUCUGAGAGGAUGACCAGCCACACUGGAACUGAGACACGGUCCAGACUCCUACGGGAGGCAGCAGUGGGGAAUAUUGCACAAUGGGCGCAAGCCUGAUGCAGCCAUGCCGCGUGUAUGAAGAAGGCCUUCGGGUUGUAAAGUACUUUCAGCGGGGAGGAAGGGAGUAAAGUUAAUACCUUUACUCAUUGACGUUACCCGCAGAAGAAGCACCGGCUAACUCCGUGCCAGCAGCCGCGGUAAUACGGAGGGUGCAAGCGUUAAUCGGAAUUACUGGGCGUAAAGCGCACGCAGGCGGUUUGUUAAGUCAGAUGUGAAA